rnacentral:rRNA from 1 species
GACGAACGCUGGCGGCGUGCUUAACACAUGCAAGUCGAACGAAGCUUGAUUACGGAUUCUUCGGAUGAAGUAUGAUAUGACUGAGUGGCGGACGGGUGAGUAACGCGUGAGUAACCUGCCCUUCAGAGGGGGAUAGCGUUUGGAAACGAACGGUAAUACCGCAUAAUGUAUUUUGACCGCAUGAUCGAAAUACCAAAGAUUUAUCGCUGAAGGAUGGACUCGCGUCUGAUUAGGUAGUUGGUGGGGUAACGGCCUACCAAGCCGACGAUCAGUAGCCGGACUGAGAGGUCGAUCGGCCACAUUGGGACUGAGACACGGCCCAGACUCCUACGGGAGGCAGCAGUGGGGAAUAUUGCACAAUGGGCGCAAGUCUGAUGCAGCAACGCCGCGUGAAGGAAGACGGUUUUCGGAUUGUAAACUUCUGUUCUUAGUGAAGAAUAAUGACGGUAGCUAAGGAGCAAGCCACGGCUAACUACGUG